CUUUAGUUCCCCAAGAACGAAGUAACAUUUUCCUUCUUGUUGAAAUCGUGAAUUCUUUACGUUUUUCAGUUAUUUCACACCAAAAACUCCUUUUAUGUUGACAGAUUAUCUUAAAUACUAAUAUAGUUUUAUUUAAAUGGUAGUAAAUGAUUAUUCAAAUGGCGAUUUUACAUUUUCAACGUAAAAAAGUAAUAAGGAAUGUUGUGGAGGUAAGCGCCAUCUAUGAGUUAGCAGCGCAACUAAACCUUCAUCACGGGGUACAGGGGAGAGUUUCUCAUCUGGUGGUUCAGGGAUCCAUCACCAGAAGAGCCACUAGACAGAGAACCAAGAUAGAGGACGGAUCAAGUGUACAACGACCCGAGAGCCCUGAAAAUAUCCUCCUAAAGCAUCGGAUGCUUCAAGGACCAACAACACAUAUCUGUGUAACUAGUUCAGACUUAACUGUACAGACCGUCCGGGCUCGUAUAUGACACCGUUAACGUCAACCGGCGAAACACUGCUGACGUGUGGGAGGCACUUUCUCCGUCACUGCCUAAAAUGGACCUGACCCUUUGGACCUGAUGUGAAUUAGAAUGAAGUUGGCUGGACAUAAAGUUAACUGUACCUGAAGUUAAGUGGACCUUAAGUGAACUGGACCUGAAGUUAAGUGGACCUAAAGUACUGUAUGGUAUUUUAUUUAAUAUUGUUCUGGUACUUUGAAUAUUAGGAAGGUUUUACAGACAUUCCCCAGUUUUUAAGAGUACUGUGCCUUAAAAAUCUAUUGUAAAUCAAAUAAAUUUUCCUGUAGACUCACAUUAUAAAAGCCAAAAUACUUUUCUACAAUAAAAAAACCUUCCCUCAAAUUAUGUUCAGUCCCCCAAAAAAGUAUUGAUAGAUUUUCUAUUGGUAAAAUUUGAAAUGGUAGAUGAAAUACUUUGAUAUGAGCCCCAGUGCAUCAGCAUAAGUUGGUACACUGCUCACCAUAUCAGCAACAACUAGAGAUUGGGGGAGGGAGUCGUCCUUGUAUGGCAUACUAGAUACUUCAAUAUAACAAGAAAUCCAUUAAGCUAUACUAAUACUGUACAGUAUAUUUAUUGUGCUGGUUAGAAGCAAGGCAUAUGUAAACAGGCCACUGACUGUCGAUUACAAUAACACCGAAAUGUACAUAGAAUGGAAGAGUUUCGGAAUAUCAUAACCGAGACAUACCUCAAGGCGGACAUUUCACCACUAUGUCGUAGUAACAGAGUUUCAUUCAUACCGAGUUGCAUAAUAUACUUACUCGUGUUGUUGACGAUACGUCUGAUUUAUGAAGAGUGACUAAACAAAUAGUACUCAAUAUUAGAGUGAACAGUUACAGCAAUAGACAAUACUUUACUAUAUAUUGGUCUAAAUGGGA